rnacentral:rRNA from 1 species
UACGUAGGGGGCGAGCGUUGUCCGGAUUUACUGGGCGUAAAGAGCGCGUAGGCGGAAGUUUAAGCGUGGCCUGAAAGCCCCCGGCUCAACCGGGGAGUGCGGCUGCGAACUGGAUUUCUUGAGGACGAUAGAGGAGAGUGGAAUUCCUGGUGUAGCGGUGAAAUGCGUAGAUAUCAGGAGGAACACCCGAGGCGAAGGCGGCUCUCUGGGUCGUACCUGACGCUGAGGCGCGAAAGCGUGGGGAGCGAACAGG